GCUUUCCCAGCCCCGGAAGGGUCCCGGUCCCGCCGCCCGCUCCCCCACCUCCCGGGAAGCGCCCGACACCCGCCCGGCCGCCCCGCACUCACAGGCUGCCGGAGCAGGAGGUACACACGAAGGAGCCGACCGUCAUGUUAACGCGCUAAACAGCCUGGCCCCUGUAUUUUCUGCGCCACUCCACCCCAUUCCCCUCGCAGAGCUGGAGACUAGGUGUUCAAUGUUGACGGAAUGAAUACAUGAAAUCGUUCAUGUAAUCUUCACAACAACCCUUCGAGAGGAGUACAGGGAGACCCAGAGAGCUGAAGUUCUCAAAUCACUGGGCUGGUGAAUGGAUUAGAAUCUACGUUUCCUAACAGCCAAGACCAACCUCCACAUCUCUCAUGAAAGGGACUGGGUGAAUCAACAAAGUUUGGAAGGACUUUGGCUAACAGAAGCUUCCUGAGUGGUUGUUCCAUCCCCAACUUUUUGUGGAAUCUGGCACUGGCCUUGGUGUCAUCUAUAAUAUAGAUUUCAACGCUAAAUGUCAGGAGAAAAAUGGGAAAGACAACAUCUGAAAAUUCUGCCUGAUAGAUAGAGAGAAGCAUCCUGGCAAGAGACACGGAGCUGACAGACGAAGAGAUGCACGUCUGACAGAACUGGGACUAUUCACCCAAAGUCUGGGAAUUCAGCCAAAAAUUCCUGAAGGAUGAAUUCCUUUUCCUCAGUCAGGUUGACAUUUGAGCACACAUCGCCCUCUUGUGUCUACGACACAUUUGGCAACGUAGUUUCCAGCACCUGCUAAUGCACACAGCAAAUUGAAGCCUCGUUAACAUCCCUUAAGCCUGCAGACCUCGGUACAAGGCGGAGGGAGAACAAACGCACCAAUUUUCCCAGAAUAGUCAAGAACAUCCAGAAGAAUCCAGAAUUUGUGAAGAUGGUACUGGUGGACCUUACCUUCCGAAAACUGCCAUCAGGGCCUCUGCAGGAGGCCCUGGCUGUGAUAAAUGUGCAUCUGUAGAGCGCACAACCUGAACAUCCUUACCAAGCAGCCCUGACCAAUAUCUUCCUGCCUAAAGAGUGCCAAUGCUGAGAGUAUGCCUUUAAAACCCCAUUUUGGCCAUUUCUCAAGAAACCUGUACUUGAUGGAUCAGCUGGCACCAUCCAGAUCAAUAAACUGGCUCAUCGGAUCUGGGCCCCCCACCUAGGAACUGACUCAGCGCAAGAAGACAGCUUCGACUCUCUAUGAUUUCAUCCCUGACCAAUCAGUACUCCUGGCUCACUGGCUUCCUCCCACCCACCAAGUUAUCCUUAAAAAUUCUGCUUCCCGAAUGCUAGGGGAGACUGAUUUGAGUAAUAAUAAAACUCUAAUCUCCUGCUCA